GGGUUGUGAGGUUAAGCGACUAAGCGUACACGGUGGAUGCCCUGGCAGUCAGAGGCGAUGAAGGACGUGCUAAUCUGCGAUAAGCGUCGGUAAGGUGAUAUGAACCGUUAUAACCGGCGAUUUCCGAAUGGGGAAACCCAGUGUGAUUCGUCACACUAUCAUUAACUGAAUCCAUAGGUUAAUGAGGCGAACCGGGGGAACUGAAACAUCUAAGUACCCCGAGGAAAAGAAAUCAACCGAGAUUCCCCCAGUAGCGGCGAGCGAACGGGGAGCAGCCCAGAGCCUGAAUCAGUGUGUGUGUUAGUGGAAGCGUCUGGAAAGGCGCGCGAUACAGGGUGACAGCCCCGUACACAAAAAUGCACAUGCUGUGAGCUCGAUGAGUAGGGCGGGACACGUGGUAUCCUGUCUGAAUAUGGGGGGACCAUCCUCCAAGGCUAAAUACUCCUGACUGACCGAUAGUGAACCAGUACCGUGAGGGAAAGGCGAAAAGAACCCCGGCGAGGGGAGUGAAAAAGAACCUGAAACCGUGUACGUACAAGCAGUGGGAGCACGCUUAGGCGUGUGACUGCGUACCUUUUGUAUAAUGGGUCAGCGACUUAUAUUCUGUAGCAAGGUUAACCGAAUAGGGGAGCCGAAGGGAAACCGAGUCUUAACUGGGCGUUAAGUUGCAGGGUAUAGACCCGAAACCCGGUGAUCUAGCCAUGGGCAGGUUGAAGGUUGGGUAACACUAACUGGAGGACCGAACCGACUAAUGUUGAAAAAUUAGCGGAUGACUUGUGGCUGGGGGUGAAAGGCCAAUCAAACCGGGAGAUAGCUGGUUCUCCCCGAAAGCUAUUUAGGUAGCGCCUCGUGAAUUCAUCUCCGGGGGUAGAGCACUGUUUCGGCAAGGGGGUCAUCCCGACUUACCAACCCGAUGCAAACUGCGAAUACCGGAGAAUGUUAUCACGGGAGACACACGGCGGGUGCUAACGUCCGUCGUGAAGAGGGAAACAACCCAGACCGCCAGCUAAGGUCCCAAAGUCAUGGUUAAGUGGGAAACGAUGUGGGAAGGCCCAGACAGCCAGGAUGUUGGCUUAGAAGCAGCCAUCAUUUAAAGAAAGCGUAAUAGCUCACUGGUCGAGUCGGCCUGCGCGGAAGAUGUAACGGGGCUAAACCAUGCACCGAAGCUGCGGCAGCGACGCUUAUGCGUUGUUGGGUAGGGGAGCGUUCUGUAAGCCUGUGAAGGUGUACUGUGAGGUAUGCUGGAGGUAUCAGAAGUGCGAAUGCUGACAUAAGUAACGAUAAAGCGGGUGAAAAGCCCGCUCGCCGGAAGACCAAGGGUUCCUGUCCAACGUUAAUCGGGGCAGGGUGAGUCGACCCCUAAGGCGAGGCCGAAAGGCGUAGUCGAUGGGAAACAGGUUAAUAUUCCUGUACUUGGUGUUACUGCGAAGGGGGGACGGAGAAGGCUAUGUUGGCCGGGCGACGGUUGUCCCGGUUUAAGCGUGUAGGCUGGUUUUCCAGGCAAAUCCGGAAAAUCAAGGCUGAGGCGUGAUGACGAGGCACUACGGUGCUGAAGCAACAAAUGCCCUGCUUCCAGGAAAAGCCUCUAAGCAUCAGGUAACAUCAAAUCGUACCCCAAACCGACACAGGUGGUCAGGUAGAGAAUACCAAGGCGCUUGAGAGAACUCGGGUGAAGGAACUAGGCAAAAUGGUGCCGUAACUUCGGGAGAAGGCACGCUGAUAUGUAGGUGAAGUGAUUUACUCAUGGAGCUGAAAUCAGUCGAAGAUACCAGCUGGCUGCAACUGUUUAUUAAAAACACAGCACUGUGCAAACACGAAAGUGGACGUAUACGGUGUGACGCCUGCCCGGUGCCGGAAGGUUAAUUGAUGGGGUCAGCGCAAGCGAAGCUCUUGAUCGAAGCCCCGGUAAACGGCGGCCGUAACUAUAACGGUCCUAAGGUAGCGAAAUUCCUUGUCGGGUAAGUUCCGACCUGCACGAAUGGCGUAAUGAUGGCCAGGCUGUCUCCACCCGAGACUCAGUGAAAUUGAACUCGCUGUGAAGAUGCAGUGUACCCGCGGCAAGACGGAAAGACCCCGUGAACCUUUACUAUAGCUUGACACUGAACAUUGAGCCUUGAUGUGUAGGAUAGGUGGGAGGCUUUGAAGUGUGGACGCCAGUCUGCAUGGAGCCGACCUUGAAAUACCACCCUUUAAUGUUUGAUGUUCUAACGU
rnacentral:rRNA from 1 species